AACGAACGCUGGCGGCAGGCUUAACACAUGCAAGUCGAGCGCCCCGCAAGGGGAGCGGCAGACGGGUGAGUAACGCGUGGGAACGUACCUUUUGCUACGGAAUAACUCAGGGAAACUUGUGCUAAUACCGUAUGUGCCCUUCGGGGGAAAGAUUUAUCGGCAAAAGAUCGGCCCGCGUUGGAUUAGCUAGUUGGUGAGGUAAAGGCUCACCAAGGCGGCGAUCCAUAGCUGGACUGAGAGGAUGAUCAGCCACACUGGGACUGAGACACGGCCCAGACUCCUACGGGAGGCAGCAGUGGGGAAUAUUGGACAAUGGGCGCAAGCCUGAUCCAGCCAUGCCGCGUGAGUGAUGAAGGCCCUAGGGUUGUAAAGCUCUCUCACCGGUGAAGAUAAUGACGGUAACCGGAGAAGAAGCCCCGGCUAACUUCGUGCCAGCCGCCGCAGUAA
rnacentral:rRNA from 1 species